rnacentral:rRNA from 1 species
GAUGAACGCUAGCGGCAGGCUUAAUACAUGCAAGGCGAAGGGGCAGCAAUGUCACUGUCGUACGGGUGCGUAACGCGUAUGCAACCUACCCAUCACUGGGGGAUAGCCCGGGGAAACCCGGAUUAAUACCGCAUAAACAGGGGCACCGCAUGGUGAUAUUUGUUAAAGAUUUAUUGGUGAUAGAUGGGCAUGCGUUCGAUUAGCUAGUUGGCGGGGUAACGGCCCACCAAGGCGACGAUCGAUAGGGGAGCUGAGAGGUUGAUCCCCCACACGGGCACUGAGAUACGGGCCCGACUCCUACGGGAGGCAGCAGUAGGGAAUAUUGGGCAAUGGAUGCAAGUCUGACCCAGCAUGCCGNGUGCCGGAUGAAGGCCCUCAGGGUUGUAAACGGCUUUUUAUUCGGGAAGAAGAGCAGGGAUGCGUCCUUGUGUGACGGUACCGAAUGAAUAAGCA